GGCCCAAUGGUCUAGAAGUAUGAUACUUGCUUUGGGGGACACGUGCUUGUAGUCACGUGACCUGACUGCAAGGGGUCCCGGGUUCAAUUCCCGGUUGGGCCC